rnacentral:tRNA from 1 species
GGGGCGGUAGCUCAGCAGGUCAGAGCAGCGAACUCAUAAUUCGUCUUGUCGUGGGUUCAAGUCCCACCCGUCCCACCC